rnacentral:rRNA from 1 species
AUUGAACGCUGGCGGCAGGCCUAACACAUGCAAGUCGAGCGGAUGAAGGGAGCUUGCUCCUGGAUUCAGCGGCGGACGGGUGGGUAAUGCCUAGGAAUCUGCCUGGUAGUGGGGGAUAACGUCCGGAAACGGGCGCUAAUACCGCAUACGUCCUGAGGGAGAAAGUGGGGGAUCUUCGGACCUCACGCUAUCAGAUGAGCCUAGGUCGGAUUAGCUAGUUGGUGGGGUAAAGGCCUACCAAGGCGACGAUCCGUAACUGGUCUGAGAGGAUGAUCAGUCACACUGGAACUGAGACACGGUCCAGACUCCUACGGGAGGCAGCAGUGGGGAAUAUUGGACAAUGGGCGAAAGCCUGAUCCAGCCAUGCCGCGUGUGUGAAGAAGGUCUUCAGAUUGUAAAGCACUUUAAGUUGGGAGGAAGGGCAGUAAGUUAAUACCUUGCUGUUUUGACGUUACCAACAGAAUAAGCACCGGCUAACUUCGUG